rnacentral:sRNA from 1 species
UAAUAAAAACAAAAAAAGAAGCCUUGAGAAACCAGGACUUCCAUAGAACCGUUAAAGACGGUAACAAAGUUUUGCCUUAUGAAAUA